rnacentral:rRNA from 1 species
UACGUAGGGUGCGAGCGUUAAUCGGAAUUACUGGGCGUAAAGCGUGCGCAGGCGGCUUUGCAAGACAGAUGUGAAAUCCCCGGGCUCAACCUGGGAACUGCAUUUGUGACUGCAAGGCUAGAGUACGGCAGAGGGGGAUGGAAUUCCGCGUGUAGAAGUGAAAUGCGUAGAUAUGCGGAGGAACACCAAUGGCGAAGGCAAUCCCCUGGGCCUGUACUGACGCUCAUGCACGAAAGCGUGGGGAGCAAACAGG